UCNCUCUGACACCCUAGAGAUAGGGCUUUCCCCUUCGGGGGACAGAGUGACAGGNUGGUGCAUGGNUUGUCGUCAGCUCGUGUCGUGAGAUGUUGGGUUAAGUCCCGCAACGAGCGCAACCCUUGAUCUUAGUUGCCAGCAUUCAGUUGGGCACUCUAAGGUGACUGCCGGUGACAAACCGGAGGAAGGUGGGGAUGACGUCAAAUCAUCAUGCCCCUUAUGACCUGGGCUACACACGUGCUACAAUGGAUGGUACAAAGGGCUGCAAACCUGCGAAGGUAAGCGAAUCCCAUAAAGCCAUUCUCAGUUCGGAUUGCAGGCUGCAACUCGCCUGCAUGAAGCCGGAAUCGCUAGUAAUCGCGGAUCAGCAUGCCGCGGUGAAUACGUUCCCGGGCCUUGUACACACCGA
rnacentral:rRNA from 2 species